AGCAGGGCAGGAGAGGCGCAGGGAGGAGCUGCAGAAAAUCACUGAAUUCUGCACAUUUCUGAGAUUUGAGAAUUUUGGGAGAGGUGCAGCGAGCGCUAGGCGCCUUCCUUCAGCCCCGAUUAGCUCUGCGGGCUGUUUUCUUAUAGCUCUGCUUUCCCCUUUGCUCGAGGUAGGGCUUUCAGAGGAGGAAAAUGAGAGAAGUGUGGAAAAACGUGAGCGUGGAGGAGCUGCAGGGAGGGUGAGCGAGAUGUGGGGCGAAAGCGGGGCUUUUCGCCAGCCGAAGAGAAGUGCAGGGGGAGAAAAGCGAACGCUGAGCUAAAAUGUGAAGUUCUGGAGUGAAAGAUGGCUCUGAGAGAAGAUGGAUGGAAGGAGGAGAAAUGGAGAGCGAAGAGGACAGGGAGAAAUGAGCAAGAUGGAAAAAAUGGGUGGCGGUGCGGAGUUGGAAGGAGUUUCAGAGCGAGGUGAGCAGCGGCUUCACGCCGACGUGGCCCCACGCCCACCCCAUGGCAACAGCCAAAAAGCUGCGUUCUUAACCCAAAACGUGGCAGCAGGAGGAGAGGCGUUUUGGUCCCCAGCGGCGCUGUUUUGAGGGCGUUGUAGGAAGAUUUGGGAUUUCGGAGCCGGGAGUGGAAGAGCGGAGGCGGCGACGAGGCAGGGAGGAGAAAUUUAGAGGAGAAAAAAGGACUUUUUGGUUCAAACUGCACAUGGGGCCCUGGGACAGAACGCGGAAGUCAGGAGAAAAUGGAAACAGGAGACAAAGAGGCAAUGAUGGCAAAAAUGGAGGAGAGG
rnacentral:misc_RNA from 1 species